rnacentral:lncRNA from 1 species
AGACUGAUGAUUCACACUGCAGUCAAGUUCUGCUGGAAAGUAAGAGAUAAAUAUGCAUUUAUGAGAUUCAGAAUGCUAUUUUCAAACACCUGCAAAGAAGAGAACACUGUGUCAAUGUAUCCAGUCACAUAUUUGAGAGUCUGCAGAACCUGUCUACCUAAUGCCCAUUGGGAUGUGUGCCCUUUGCUUCUCUUUCCCUUCCCACAACCCAACCAUAGAGAGAAACGGCAGUGGAGAUGGUUUAUUUGGCCAGUGAGUCCUCACUCUUUCAAUCAUGUUUGCCCUCUCUUCCUGAUGUUUGGUAAGAAAAAAUGCCCUUUGAGUAAAAAGAAGAGCUUAGAAUGUCAUGGAAUACCAAGUUGUGGAUUUCCUGCUCUGAGCAAGCUGGAACUCAUCCUUAUCUCCAAGGGCUAGCUGCUGUAUUUAAAACUUCUUUGUGACAACCCAGGUUUAUCUGAAACCUGAAACAUGGAUCAGAGCACCCUCCCCUAAGUUGCUCUCCAGCCUCGGUGGUAGUGAGAGGUUGAGUUUGGCUAUUAAGCUCACCAGCAGGAAUAUGGGCAUCUUUUGCUGUAGCGACAGCAGUAAAACUGCCACUCACGGUCCAGCACUGAUUCGAAGUAGCGGCUCUGGAACCCUGCCACCAGUCCAUUGUUGGAGCAUGUCUGGUACCUGAAGAGAAGAGAACUCAAAAUUAACUAACCACAAUGACAUACGAACAGAUCCCCUUCCUGAGAUUGAGAUCACAGCUCCCACAGUUACUGAGUCGGGCCACUCUUUAAUUGACCUAGAUUCCUAACAUUUUUUUUUCCAUUUUUAUGCAAAUAAUACUUUAUUAGUAUCAAUGACAUAUACUUACCAUUAAAAUUCAAAUGAUUCAGAAUCUCUCAACUGAAGGAGAAUCGAGGAACUCUGCUCUUGUUAGACCUUUAUGAAUAUAUUGUUAGAUGGAAGGAUGCAUAAAUAGAUGGAUAUAGAGGCAUCUGUAUCUUACCAAAAGCAAGAUUGUAUUAUUUAUGCCAUUUAAAAUAAGAGAUCAUACAAUUUAUUUUACUUGAAUUAAAAUAAAAAGAAGACAAAGAGAAACGCAAUGGAUUGAUGAAAUUCCAACUUUUCUUCUGCUUAAGAAUAGAACCCUGGAGAUUGAGCACAAGGAUACUCUUCAUUCUACCCCUAAACAGUAGGCAAAGCCCAGAUGGGCACAGUGAUUUAUAAAGGGUGAAUCAGCAAGGUAGCUGGGACCACAACCACAAGAUGUAAAUUGAGACCUAUGCCCUUUGCACGAUCCAGCCUUCUUUUCUCCACCAUUGCUCACAUUUCACUACCUAUCCAGGAAUUUUUCUAUCACUCACAGAUUGCAAGCUCUACAUGGUCAGGGAGUGUUGUGGUCAAAAUUCUAUACAAUGCCCACCGUGGGUCCUGGCAAAUGGAGGCCCUCCUUACAGAGUG